UACGGAGGGAGCUAGCGUUGUUCGGAAAUACUGGGCGUAAAGCGCACGUAGGCGGCGCAGCAAGUCAGGGGUGAAAUCCCGGGGCUCAACCUCGGAACUGCCCUUGAAACUGCAGUGCUAGAAUCUUGGAGAGGCGAGUGGAAUUCCGAGUGUAGAGGUGAAAUUCGUAGAUAUUCGGAAGAACACCAGUGGCGAAGGCGACUCGCUGGACAAGUAUUGACGCUGAGGUGCGAAAGCGUGGGGAGCAAACA
rnacentral:rRNA from 1 species